rnacentral:rRNA from 1 species
UCGAGAAUUUUUCACAAUGGGCGAAAGCCUGAUGGAGCGACGCCGCGUGGGGGAUGAAUGGCUUCGGCCCGUAAACCCCUGUCAUUUGCGAGCAAUGGUUUUCCGUUAACAGCGGGAAACUUGAUAGUAGCGAAAGAGGAAGGGACGGCUAACUCUGUGCCAGCAGCCGCGGUAAUACGGAGGGUGCGAGCGUUGUUCGGAAUUAUUGGGCGUAAAGCGCGUGUAGGCGGUCUUUUAAGUCUGAUGUGAAAGCCCCGGGCUCAACCUGGGAAGUGCAUUGGAAACUGGGAGACUUGAAUACGGGAGAGGGUAGUGGAAUUCCUAGUGUAGGAGUGAAAUCCGUAGAUAUUAGGAGGAACACCGGUGGCGAAGGCGGCUACCUGGACCGAUAUUGACGCUGAGACGCGAAAGCGUGGGGAGCAAACA